rnacentral:misc_RNA from 1 species
GAAAUGCGAUAAGUAAUGUGAAUUGCAGAAUUCAGUGAAUCAUCGAAUCUUUGAACGCACAUUGUGCCCCUUGGUAUUCCGGGGGGCAUGCCUGUUCGAGCGUCAUUACAACCCUCAAGCUCUGCUUGGAAUUGGGCACCGUCCUCACUGCGGACGCGCCUCAAAGACCUCGGCGGUGGCUGUUCAGCCCUCAAGCGUAGUAGAAUACACCUCGCUUUGGAGCGGUUGGCGUCGCCCGCCGGACGAACCUUCUGAACUUUUCUCAAGGUUGACCUCGGAUCAGGUAGGGAUACCCGCUGAACUUAAGC